AGCGAACGCUGGCGGCAGGCCUAACACAUGCAAGUCGAACGAACCUUUCGGGGUUAGUGGCGGACGGGUGAGUAAUACGUGGGAACGUGCCUUUAGGUUCGGAAUAACUCAGGGAAACUUGUGCUAAUACCGAAUGUGCCCUUCGGGGGAAAGAUUUAUCGCCUUUAGAGCGGCCCGCGUCUGAUUAGCUAGUUGGUUGAGGUAAUGGCUCACCAAGGCGACGAUCAGUAGCUGGUCUGAGAGGAUGAUCAGCCACAUUGGGACUGAGACACGGCCCAAACUCCUACGGGAAGCAGCAGUGGGGAAUCUUGCGCAAUGGGCGAAAGCCUGACGCAGCCAUGCCGCGUGAAUGAUGAAGGUCUUAGGAUUGUAAAAUUCUUUCACCGGGGACGAUAAUGACGGUACCCGGAGAAGAAGCCCCGGCUAACUUCGUG
rnacentral:rRNA from 1 species